UUGGUUUGAGGUUAUGAUUCGC
rnacentral:piRNA from 1 species